AGCGUACACGGUGGAUGCCCUGGCAGUCAGAGGCGAUGAAGGACGUGCUAAUCUGCGAUAAGCGUCGGUAAGGUGAUAUGAACCGUUAUAACCGGCGAUUUCCGAAUGGGGAAACCCAGUGUGUUUCGACACACUAUCAUUAACUGAAUCCAUAGGUUAAUGAGGCGAACCGGGGGAACUGAAACAUCUAAGUACCCCGAGGAAAAGAAAUCAACCGAGAUUCCCCCAGUAGCGGCGAGCGAACGGGGAGCAGCCCAGAGCCUGAAUCAGUGUGUGUGUUAGUGGAAGCGUCUGGAAAGGCGCGCGAUACAGGGUGACAGCCCCGUACACAAAAAUGCACAUGCUGUGAGCUCGAUGAGUAGGGCGGGACACGUGGUAUCCUGUCUGAAUAUGGGGGGACCAUCCUCCAAGGCUAAAUACUCCUGACUGACCGAUAGUGAACCAGUACCGUGAGGGAAAGGCGAAAAGAACCCCGGCGAGGGGAGUGAAAAAGAACCUGAAACCGUGUACGUACAAGCAGUGGGAGCACGCUUAGGCGUGUGACUGCGUACCUUUUGUAUAAUGGGUCAGCGACUUAUAUUCUGUAGCAAGGUUAACCGAAUAGGGGAGCCGAAGGGAAACCGAGUCUUAACUGGGCGUUAAGUUGCAGGGUAUAGACCCGAAACCCGGUGAUCUAGCCAUGGGCAGGUUGAAGGUUGGGUAACACUAACUGGAGGACCGAACCGACUAAUGUUGAAAAAUUAGCGGAUGACUUGUGGCUGGGGGUGAAAGGCCAAUCAAACCGGGAGAUAGCUGGUUCUCCCCGAAAGCUAUUUAGGUAGCGCCUCGUGAAUUCAUCUCCGGGGGUAGAGCACUGUUUCGGCAAGGGGGUCAUCCCGACUUACCAACCCGAUGCAAACUGCGAAUACCGGAGAAUGUUAUCACGGGAGACACACGGCGGGUGCUAACGUCCGUCGUGAAGAGGGAAACAACCCAGACCGCCAGCUAAGGUCCCAAAGUCAUGGUUAAGUGGGAAACGAUGUGGGAAGGCCCAGACAGCCAGGAUGUUGGCUUAGAAGCAGCCAUCAUUUAAAGAAAGCGUAAUAGCUCACUGGUCGAGUCGGCCUGCGCGGAAGAUGUAACGGGGCUAAACCAUGCACCGAAGCUGCGGCAGCGACGCUUAUGCGUUGUUGGGUAGGGGAGCGUUCUGUAAGCCUGCGAAGGUGUGCUGUGAGGCAUGCUGGAGGUAUCAGAAGUGCGAAUGCUGACAUAAGUAACGAUAAAGCGGGUGAAAAGCCCGCUCGCCGGAAGACCAAGGGUUCCUGUCCAACGUUAAUCGGGGCAGGGUGAGUCGACCCCUAAGGCGAGGCCGAAAGGCGUAGUCGAUGGGAAACAGGUUAAUAUUCCUGUACUUGGUGUUACUGCGAAGGGGGGACGGAGAAGGCUAUGUUGGCCGGGCGACGGUUGUCCCGGUUUAAGCGUGUAGGCUGGUUUUCCAGGCAAAUCCGGAAAAUCAAGGCUGAGGCGUGAUGACGAGGCACUACGGUGCUGAAGCAACAAAUGCCCUGCUUCCAGGAAAAGCCUCUAAGCAUCAGGUAACAUCAAAUCGUACCCCAAACCGACACAGGUGGUCAGGUAGAGAAUACCAAGGCGCUUGAGAGAACUCGGGUGAAGGAACUAGGCAAAAUGGUGCCGUAACUUCGGGAGAAGGCACGCUGAUAUGUAGGUGAAGUCCCUCGCGGAUGGAGCUGAAAUCAGUCGAAGAUACCAGCUGGCUGCAACUGUUUAUUAAAAACACAGCACUGUGCAAACACGAAAGUGGACGUAUACGGUGUGACGCCUGCCCGGUGCCGGAAGGUUAAUUGAUGGGGUCAGCGCAAGCGAAGCUCUUGAUCGAAGCCCCGGUAAACGGCGGCCGUAACUAUAACGGUCCUAAGGUAGCGAAAUUCCUUGUCGGGUAAGUUCCGACCUGCACGAAUGGCGUAAUGAUGGCCAGGCUGUCUCCACCCGAGACUCAGUGAAAUUGAACUCGCUGUGAAGAUGCAGUGUACCCGCGGCAAGACGGAAAGACCCCGUGAACCUUUACUAUAGCUUGACACUGAACAUUGAGCCUUGAUGUGUAGGAUAGGUGGGAGGCUUUGAAGUGUGGACGCCAGUCUGCAUGGAGCCGACCUUGAAAUACCACCCUUUAAUGUUUGAUGUUCUAACGUUGACCCGUAAUCCGGGUUGCGGACAGUGUCUGGUGGGUAGUUUGACUGGGGCGGUCUCCUCCUAAAGAGUAACGGAGGAGCACGAAGGUUGGCUAAUCCUGGUCGGACAUCAGGAGGUUAGUGCAAUGGCAUAAGCCAGCUUGACUGCGAGCGUGACGGCGCGAGCAGGUGCGAAAGCAGGUCAUAGUGAUCCGGUGGUUCUGAAUGGAAGGGCCAUCGCUCAACGGAUAAAAGGUACUCCGGGGAUAACAGGCUGAUACCGCCCAAGAGUUCAUAUCGACGGCGGUGUUUGGCACCUCGAUGUCGGCUCAUCACAUCCUGGGGCUGAAGUAGGUCCCAAGGGUAUGGCUGUUCGCCAUUUAAAGUGGUACGCGAGCUGGGUUUAGAACGUCGUGAGACAGUUCGGUCCCUAUCUGCCGUGGGCGCUGGAGAACUGAGGGGGGCUGCUCCUAGUACGAGAGGACCGGAGUGGACGCAUCACUGGUGUUCGGGUUGUCAUGCCAAUGGCACUGCCCGGUAGCUAAAUGCGGAAGAGAUAAGUGCUGAAAGCAUCUAAGCACGAAACUUGCCCCGAGAUGAGUUCUCCCUGACUCCUUGA
rnacentral:rRNA from 2 species